rnacentral:rRNA from 1 species
CCUACGGGAGGCAGCAGUGGGGAAUAUUGGGCAAUGGGCGCAAGCCUGACCCAGCAACGCCGCGUGAAGGAAGAAGGCUUUCGGGUUGUAAACUUCUUUUCUGAGGGCCGACUAAAGUGACGGUACAUCAGGAAUAAGCCACGGCUAACGACGUGCCAGCAGCCUCGAUAAUACGUAGGUGGCAAGCGUUAUCCGGAUUUAUUGGUUGUAAAGGGCGUGUAGGAGGGAAAGCAAGUCAGAUGUGAAAACUCAGGGCUCAACCCUGAGCCUGCAUUUGAAACUGGUUUUCUUGAGUGCUGGAGAGGGAAGCGGAAUUCCGUGGGUAGCGGUGAAAUGCGUAGAGAUACGGAGGAACACCAGUGGCGUAGGCGGAUUGCUGGACAGUAACUGACGCUGAGGCGCGAAAGCGUGGGGAGCAAACAGGAUUAGAUACCCCAGUAGUC